rfam:Marinovum algicola DG 898, complete genome.
CCCCUUAACAUCCCGGCCCGUGCGCCCUAUAUUCAGCCUUGUCCUUCGGGACUAUGGACAUAAACGCGCUCGUAAUAAGCGGAUCGGACCCGGGGGCGGUACCCGGCGGCUCCACCAACCAUCCUUCGUUUGGGGAUCAUGGGGCCGAAACAGGAUCGACGAACGUCUAAAGGGGUUAGCUUUGUCCCGGUGAGUUACCACCGUUAUCGGUACAACUAAGCUAGUUGCAAACGACAACAAAGCUCCGGUGGCAAUGGCUGCGUAAGCAGUCGGAUCUACCGAAAUCUUAAGUCCUAGGGCCUAGCAGCUUUAGGCGGGGUUCGCAGGUACCUGGCAACAGAAACCUGCAUU